rnacentral:rRNA from 1 species
CCUACGGGUGGCAGCAGUCGAGAAUCAUUCACAAUGGGGGAAACCCUGAUGGUGCGACGCCGCGUGGGGGAAUGAAGGUCUUCGGAUUGUAAACCCCUGUCAUGUGGGAGCAAAUUAAAAAGAUAGUACCACAAGAGGAAGAGACGGCUAACUCUGUGCCAGCAGCCGCGGUAAUACAGAGGUCUCAAGCGUUGUUCGGAAUCACUGGGCGUAAGGCGUGCGUAGGCUGUUUCGUAAGUCGUGUGUGAAAGGCGCGGGCUCAACCCGCGGACGGCACAUGAUACUGCGAGACUAGAGUAAUGGAGGGGGAACCGGAAUUCUCGGUGUAGCAGUGAAAUGCGUAGAUAUCGAGAGGAACACUCGUGGCGAAGGCGGGUUCCUGGACAUUAACUGACGCUGAGGCACGAAGGCCAGGGGAGCGAAAGGGAUUGGAUACCCCAGUAGUC